CCCUGGCACAACACUGACGCUCAGGUGCGAAAGCGUGGGGAGCAAAUAGGUUUAGAUACCCUGGUAGUCCACGCCGUAAACGAUGUCUACUAGCUGUUCGUGACCUUGUGUUGUGAGUAGCGCAGCUAACGCAUUAAGUAGACCGCCUGGGGAGUACGGUCGCAAGAUUAAAACUCAAAUGAAUUGACGGGGGCCCGCACAAGCGGUGGAGCAUGUGGUUUAAUUCGACGCAACGCGAAGAACCUUACCUACUCUUGACAUCUACAGAAGACUGCAGAGAUGCGGUUGUGCCUUCGGGAACUGUAAGACAGGUGCUGCAUGGCUGUCGUCAGCUCGUGUUGUGAAAUGUUGGGUUAAGUCCCGCAACGAGCGCAACCCUUAUCCUUAGUUGCCAGCGAUUCGGUCGGGAACUCUAGGGAGACUGCCGGUGAUAAACCGGAGGAAGGUGGGGACGACGUCAAGUCAUCAUGGCCCCUUACGAGUAGGGCUACACACGUGCUACAAUGGUAUGUACAGAGGGAGGCGAUGCCGCGAGGCGGAGCGGAUCUCUUAAAGCAUAUCGUAGUCCGGAUCGCAGUCUGCAACUCGACUGCGUGAAGUCGGAAUCGCUAGUAAUCGCAAAUCAGAAUGUUGCGGUGAAUACGUUCCCGGGCCUUGUACACACCGCCCGUCAACACCAUGGGAGUGGGUUGCAAAAGAAGUAGGUAGCUUAACCUUCGGGAGGGCGCUUA
rnacentral:rRNA from 1 species